UCCCAGCUCCCCGAUUGGUUGGGACGAUUAUUGGGUCUAAAGCAUCCGUAGCCGGCCGAGGAAGUUCCCCGUUAAAUCCAGCGAUUCAAUCGUUGGACUGCGGGGAAUACUCCUCGGCUAGGGGGCGGGGGAGGCCGGCGGUAGUCCCGGGGUAGGGGCGAAAUCCUAUAAUCCCGGGAGGACCACCAGUGGCGAAGGCGGCCGGCCAAAACGCGCCCGACGGUGAGGGAUGAAAGCUGGGGGAGCGAACGGG
rnacentral:rRNA from 1 species